rnacentral:lncRNA from 1 species
CUGCAAGCUUUGCCUCCCAGGUUCACACCAUUCUCCUGACUCAGCCUCCCAAGUAGCUGGGACUACAAGUGCCCGCCACCACGUCCGGCUAAUUUUUUGUAUUUUUGGUAGAGACGGGAUUUCACUGUGUUAGCCAGGAUGGUCUCAAUCUCUUGAUGUCGUGAUCUGCCCGCCUCGGCCUCCAAAAGUGCUGGAAUUACAGGCGUGAGCCACCGCGCCCAGCCUUUUAUGACUUUUAAAACAAUCUAUUCCAUUGAGGAAUCCUUAUAUGAUUACACAUAUCAUGGUUAUUAACUAAUGGGAUCCCUCACCAAGUUUCCCACAACACAUACUGUCUAAUCUUACACUUGGAAGAGACAGCCAAUCACCGACAAUGCAUUUUCUCCUUUCAUAAUGUAGAAUUGUCACUGAGAAGUGGCUUCCAACAAAGGACUACAUCUUCCAGACCCCUUUGCAGGGUAGAUGUGAUUGUUUUCAUGGGUUUUGGACCAUGGCAUGUGAGGCCCUCCUAAGCUUGGCCUUCCUGUGUCUCCUUACUCCAUGUUCUUUUCCCUUUCCAUCAGCUGGUGACAACCUGCUGGAAUGGCCAUAACCCUCCAUCCCCCAGGCAACCUCAGAAGUCACAUGUUGUAAAUGGCAGGGCCUCUGAAAUGACUGUGGAGUCUGGGCACUGGUUGUUUAUUAUAGCAAGAGAUCUGUAGAAUGUGUAAUUGGGUAUGCCAAGACAGGAUUACAAAUUCAUUUUCACAGAAGGUAAAGCAAAGUGACCAGACCUAUCAGAAUUUGGGGGUCAAUGGACACAAGCAGGAUUCUUUCCUCAGUCGCUUAUGUAGAUGGCCAAUUCAUGAUCUUAAUUUAGUACACUUUAACUUCUUAAAAAGCAUGACAUAUGCACCACAACCUGCAUUUUAUAGCUGAUGAAAAAGAUAAGAAUAUUAACUAUACCACCCCCCUCCACCCAGCUUGAGUUGUUCUAGAAAUAAAGCUUUAUGCUUAGGAGACAGCAUCAGUUAAACCUCAUAAAAAUCUCAUUGACAGCAUCAUCAAUCCCUUAUGGUUGGAAAGAGCAAAGUAAGAUGCUCAGAAGUGGGAACUGAAGAUGCUAACUCUAGGACCUAUUGCCAUGUCUGUGGCAUUUUCAUUUCCAUUGCUUUGGUACCGUGAUAGGCUUAGAGUUUAGUAAAUCAGAAACUGACCCCAGGCAUCUAGCAAUUGUUCUUUAUUGAAAAACACUUUCAGGAAAAUCCAAGGAAAUACAGAAGCAAGGCAGCACCAUAGUCUUCCCAGCCGAGAUGGAAGUGCCUCUGGUUUCUCCAGCAAUUCCCACUGGAGUUAUCAUGACUCAAGAGUCUGUUGCAAUCAGUUGUAGAAAGGCGCAGAGUGACAGUUGGAAUGCAAAGAAAUGUGCACAACCCAGAGCUCUCUCAGCUUUGCCAAAACUCAAGUGCCCCCAUGGGAGGGUCUUGCAACAUAUGUUCUGUUGAGCAAAGAGGUUGCAAACCAAGCAGUUAUUGCAAUAAACACCACUUGUG